AGGGCAUGAUGUGGGCACUUCCUUAGCAUAUCCUUGUAUCUGUCCCAUGCUUCAUAAAAAGGUUCCAUGUCAUUCUGAGCAAAUGACAUGAUGUCAUUCCUGAGUUU
rfam:Prunus persica cultivar Lovell chromosome G4, whole genome shotgun sequence.